GAGUUUGAUCCUGGCUCAGGACGAACGCUGGCGGCGCGCCUAACACAUGCAAGUCGAACGAGAGAGAAGUAGCUUGCUUCUUCGAUCGAGUGGCGAACGGGUGAGUAACGCGUGAGGAACCUGCCUCAAAGAGGGGGACAACAGUUGGAAACGACUGCUAAUACCGCAUAAGCCCACAGGUCGGCAUCGACCAGAGGGAAAAGGAGCAAUCCGCUUUGAGAUGGCCUCGCGUCCGAUUAGCUAGUUGGUGAGGUAAUGGCCCACCAAGGCGACGAUCGGUAGCCGGACUGAGAGGUUGAACGGCCACAUUGGGACUGAGACACGGCCCAGACUCCUACGGGAGGCAGCAGUGGGGAAUAUUGCACAAUGGGGGAAACCCUGAUGCAGCGACGCCGCGUGGAGGAAGAAGGUCUUCGGAUUGUAAACUCCUGUUGUUGAGGAAGAUAAUGACGGUACUCAACAAGGAAGUGACGGCUAACUACGUGCCAGCAGCCGCGGUAAAACGUAGGUCACAAGCGUUGUCCGGAAUUACUGGGUGUAAAGGGAGCGCAGGCGGGAAGACAAGUUGGAAGUGAAAUCCAUGGGCUCAACCCAUGAACUGCUUUCAAAACUGUUUUUCUUGAGUAGUGCAGAGGUAGGCGGAAUUCCCGGUGUAGCGGUGGAAUGCGUAGAUAUCGGGAGGAACACCAGUGGCGAAGGCGGCGUACUGGGCACCAACUGACGCUGAGGCUCGAAAGUGUGGGUAGCAACAGGAUUAGAUACCCUGUGAGUCCACACCGUAAACGAUGAUUACUAGGUGCUGGAGGAUUGACCCCUUCAGUGCCGCAGUUAACACAAUAAGUAAUCCACCUGGGGAGUACGACCGCAAGGUUGAAACUCAAAGGAAUUGACGGGGGCCCGCACAAGCAGUGGAGUAUGUGGUUUAAUUCGACGCAACGCGAAGAACCUUACCAAGUCUUGACAUCCUGCGACGGACAUAGAAAUAUGUUUUUCCUUCGGGACGCAGAGACAGGUGGUGCAUGGUUGUCGUCAGCUCGUGUCGUGAGAUGUUGCGUUAAGUCCCGCAACGAGCGCAACCCUUAUGGUCAGUUACUACGCAAGAGGACUCUGGCCAGACUGCCGUUGACAAAACGGAGGAAGGUGGGGAUGACGUCAAAUCAUCAUGCCCUUUAUGACUUGGGCUACACACGUACUACAAUGGCGUUAAACAAAGAGAAGCAAGACCGCGAGGUGGAGCAAAACUCAGAAACCCACGUCCCAGUUCGGACUGCAGGCUGCAACUCGCCUGCACGAAGUCGGAAUUGCUAGUAAUCGUGGAUCAGCAUGCCACGGUGAAUACGUUCCCGGGCCUUGUACACACCGCCCGUCA
rnacentral:rRNA from 1 species